GCAAAGAAUGAGAAAAUGAGAGAGUGAAGACUAAAGUGCGUAAUUAGCGAAGGGUUACUCCUUUAUAUCGAAGGACCCACAAUUGUUGAUCUAAACACGAUCCAAGGGCCACAUCCUAUCAACAAAUUAAGUGAUCAUUGAGCAAAUGGUUAUGCAAGUCUUACACCUCAAAUGACACUUUCCACUUGGGCCAGGCAACGUCGGUAUGAAAUGAUCACACCUUUAAAUUAUUCAACUAUUAUGAUGUCCAACUAAUGUACAUCAUAGCCCGUAGGUUAUUCGGCAACACAGAAGUCCAACAGAUAUCCACAAGUACAUUUUUUUUUCCCUAUUAUUUGAUAUAAGAGAUAAGGCAUACAAAUUUCAUGCAAAAAGAAGUAUGUAGUUAGUUGGGCACGUCCGCUUAAUCUCACUUGAUCAAACCAAGUAUCUGCUUAUGAAAAUGAUCAAACUUACCACAAAGAUAAGGGUUGUGGUACAUUUGUUAUCCAGUAACUUGUUUGUGCGUAAAGAUAAGAAAACACUGCAAAACCAUCAACCAAAUUGAUAUUGCCUUUUAAAAAUUGUAAGGUUGGUGACAUGUGGGCCAGCCAACGAUAUGAUUUUGAAUUGAACUAAAUAUUUCAAAAUAGUUAUUGCGGUUUGAAAUAAAAAGAACUGGUUAAGCAAUCAUAGUAAUUUUCCAUCACCAUAUGAUGGAUAAUGGGAUUAAGCAAAGUAUGAAUGAGAAAAAAACAGUGGGAAAUUGAAAUUCAAGUAUUGUUAACCACUAUCAUUAUUGUUAGUUCAAAAGAUAGUUUUGGAUACAAGCACUACAAGACUCUGCCUGAAAUAUCAUAUGCAAGAAAGGUAAAAAGUAGGGAAAAGGUUUUGAUUAGACUAAAACAUAAUUUUAGACCACCUCUUAAAUUGAUGUGGAAACUUCAAGGAAAAUCCAGUAAAUACUGGAUUCCUUAAUGCUUUCCUUCCCUAAUAAGAAAACUAAGAUGAUAAUCAAUCAAUCAUAUCUCGAACUUUAAUAUUCUUUAAAUUCUAAAAAUUCCGUUUUGUUCAUUCUAAAGGUUGAACCCCAACCUUAAGGGUCAUCCACCGCCCCUACCCUGGAGUAUCGUGAGGGAGGUAAAUCGCAAGUUAUGCAUCACAUGUGAACUAAUUGAGCUGUAUGUUCACUCUUCACGUGAACUCAUUGAACCUUAUAUUUAUUGAUUAGCCUUAAUGUAUGUACUUAUCGAGUCACUAGUUCAUUGGUGAAGAAAUCAUUGAGUCCUAUAAGUGGCGAAUUCAGGACCGGAGGUCAGUUAGGACGGUUGACCGUUGACAAUCACCGAUCGUAAUAACGUGACAACGUCCCAUUUUAUCUUAUAAAAUUAAAAAAGUGUUCUAGGGGAUUCGAAAUCCUCAUGGUUUUAAUUAAUUGAGUUUUCAUAAAGCUUCAUAGUUUAUUUAAAGUUCAAUAAUUAAUUAAUUAUAGUAGUUUGAAGGGGUGGUGCCAUUGGUAUCAUUCCUGUUACAAACUCAUAUUGAAGAAAUCUAGCAGAAGAAAGAAGAGUGAGGUGAAAAGAAAGAGGGAAUACCUGAAAGGGACUCUGGUAGAUGACCUGGAGAAGAAUAGAAAAUUGAUGUAGGCAAAGGUCUUCAAAAAAGAUAAAAUGCUAGGAAAAGUAGGAGAGUAAAAUUGAAGGAAAAAGGGAAAAUCUAGAAUAUAAAGGAAAGGAACGCGAAGAGACGCCAUCUAGAUUGUCCAAAAGAAAAUUGAAGAAAGUUGAAAAAUCAACUAAUGAAUCCAGAUUGAAUCCAUCAAAACAAUGUCGUUUUCAUCAAACUUCGUGGAUGGUAGAAUCAACACAACAUCAGAUUUUGCAAAACGUUUUGAUUAAGCACAAAUCACAAAAACAAAAGUCCCCUACUAACUUCUAAAGCGUCAAUUUUAGAUUGGGCUACCUAAAGUUAAGGUUCAAUCUCUCCAAAAUCGAACUCAUACCUUAGGGACAAUAGUUGGUGUUUGAUCUAAAACAUCCACAUUGGAUCUAUUAUGGACUCAACUCGAAUCGGUCAGAGGAAGCUUUGUUAUCCAAACCAAACAGGAUAGUAAGGAAAGGUUAAAAAUCCACUUGCUUUUAAGGUAAUUGGUCGAGAACUAAAUAUGCAACGAGGCAACAUCCCAUUUUUAUCUUAUAAAAUUAACAAUACAAGAUAUGAAUAUAACUACAACAUAAAUACAAAUGGAAUUAUAAAACACACACACAUACAGACAUAUUCACUAUGGUAAUUUCCUAAACCUAAAUUCCUAAAUCACAAAUCACAAAUCAAAACUCAUAAAUGAUAAAUUAUAAAUCAUAACUCAUACAACAUAAAUUAUUUUGACAUAAAUCACAAAUUCAUAAUUCUCAUUUCUUUGCCACGGAACAAAAACAAAAAAUAAAAAAUAAAAAAUAAAAAAAAUCAAGAACAAUAGUCGAGAAGGAAAAAGGCGCUCACCACAAUUCACAUAGUCAAAGGCACAACCCAUAGGAGGUCUGUCGUCGGCGAACAUCUUUGCAAAUCGAGCCAGGAGAGGUGGAGAAAUGGAGAAUGACCGGUUGCAGUGCAUACUGCUUCGCCUCAUGUCUGCAUUGCUUGACACUCGUUUGGAAUUGGUAGUUUAGCACACUAGACUUGCUGGAGGAAAUACAUAUGUAUCCAUUGUCCAUGGAUUGGAUUUGGA
rnacentral:lncRNA from 1 species